rnacentral:lncRNA from 1 species
CAUACCUGCCAACUUUUCAAAAUGCCCAUGGGGGUUUUACAUGGAAGAUGGCUCUUACAGUCCUAUAAAACCAUCAAGGGGGCCUUCAAAUGUAUUUUAAUGUUUUGGCUUCUUCUUACUUUUUAAAGUGGAUAUCCCUAGUCAAAUGAACUGUUUUGUUUAAAAUUAUUGACAAAAUUGCUCUUUUAAAAUUUCCAUUUUGGAGCUGCCAUGGGGGAAAUCCCCCACAAAUAGUGAAAGUUGGCAGGUAUG